ACAGCAUCCCCUCCGCUGAACAUGAGACCGGCGUUCUUCUCGCUCACCCUGACUGCCUGUGUGUGUGUGUCUGUAAUGGUGGAUUGUAGACCAAGGGUCCAGGACACAGAGCAUCUUCCACAUCAUCAUCAUCAUCAGCACAUCGGAGGGGCAUCUGCUGACACGGGACAUUUUUACUCUGAACUAAGCGGAUCAAUAAAACGGGUUCACAGAAAAUAUCUGGUUGUUUUGCCAGUAACAACAGAUACAAGCAACAUUGUGUCAAUAUUUGACUUGAGAAGACAACGGUACCUCUGUAUGAACCUAAAGAAAGAGCUGUACGUCUCUAGGCACAUGGACAAAGAGGACUGCCUCUUCCAGCACAUUUUUUUAGACCUGCUGAGCCACUAUGACACGUUUUACUCUGCAAGUGGGGGCAAGCUGCUCAAACUGGAGCGAACUAUAGACUCCUCGGCUCUGCUGCACAGAUUCCUGGGUCCCUUGGUAAAGAGGCA